CAGUCGCCACGGGAACACGUAGGGUGCGAGCGUUAAUCGGAAUUACUGGGCGUAAAGCGUGCGCAGGCGGUUGUGUAAGACAGGUGUGAAAUCCCCGGGCUUAACCUGGGAACUGCGCUUGUGACUGCACAGCUAGAGUAUGGCAGAGGGGGGUGGAAUUCCACGUGUAGCAGUGAAAUGCGUAGAGAUGUGGAGGAACACCGAUGGCGAAGGCAGCCUGCUGGGCCAAUACUGACGCUCAUGCACGAAAGCGUGGGGAGCAAACAGGAUUAGAUACCCCCGUAGUCCCUGUCUCUUAUAC
rnacentral:rRNA from 1 species